GACUCUGAUAGGGAAGGAAUAGAGCCCUUUGAUCUGGGCUUAGUACAUCUAAAUGGCUAGAAGUUAAGUCCCUUAGCUUCUCCUUAUGUUUUGGGCCAGAAUAAGUUGCUCUCUUUCCCUUGUUAGAGAAG
ensembl:miRNA